GAGGCCUAAGUGUGACUUGCUGCAGCUCAGAUGGCUCCAUAAGGGAAGAAGUGCUCUUGAGCCUGAGCCUUCUGCCUCUACCUCAGCCUCUGACUGAGCUGGGCCAGUUGGCCCCCUCAAGCCUGCCUGUCUCCUGCAGGAAUCUCUGAGAUCCUGAUGAACAGACCUCGUGCCCGCAAUGCCCUGGGGCAUGUCUUCGUCAGUGAGCUGCUUGAAGCUCUGGCCAGGCUGCGGGAGGACAAGCAAGUUCGUGUUCUGUUGUUCAGAAGUGGAGUGAAGGGUGUGUUCUGUGCAGAUGUGAAAUCAAAGACCCAGGCAGGU